rnacentral:rRNA from 1 species
AGCAACCGCGGUAAUUCCAGCUCCAAUAGCGUAUAUUAAAGUUGUUGCAGUUAAAAAGCUCGUAGUUGAAUUUCGGGAUUGACACAUCGGUCGUGCCUUAAGGGGUAUGAACUGGUGUAGUCAAUUUCUCACCUUCUGGAGAACCGCGAUGCCCUUAAUUGGGUGUCGCGGGGAACCAGGACCUUUACUUUGAAAAAAUUAGAGUGUUUAAAGCAGGCAUUUUGCUUGAAUACAUUAGCAUGGAAUAAUAAAAUAGGACGGCAUGAUUCUAUUUUGUUGGUUUCUAGGAUCACCGUAAUGAUUAAUAGGGAUAGUUGGGGGCAUUAGUAUUCAAUUGUCAGAGGUGAAAUUCUUGGAUUUAUUGAAGACUAACUACUGCGAAAGCAUUUGCCAAGGAUGUUUUCAUUAAUCAAGAACGAAAGUUAGGGGAUCGAAGACGAUCAGAUACCGUCGUAGUCUUAACCAUAAACUAUGCCGACUAGGAAUCAGACGAUGUUAAUUUUUUAAUGACUCGUUUGGC